UACGGAGGGUGCAAGCGUUAUCCGGAUUCACUGGGCUUAAAGGGUGCGUAGGCGGGCAGGUAAGUCAGUGGUGAAAUCUCCGAGCUUAACUUGGAAACUGCCGUUGAUACUAUCUGCCUUGAAUAUUGUGGAGGUGAGCGGAAUAUGUCAUGUAGCGGUGAAAUGCUUAGAUAUGACAUAGAACACCAAUUGCGAAGGCAGCUCGCUACACAUAUAUUGACUCUGAGGCACGAAAGCGUGGGGAUCAAACAGG
rnacentral:rRNA from 1 species